GGAGAUUUAGCUCAGCAGAAUAAGCACCUGCCUUGCAAGCAGGCGGUCGUGAGUUCAAUCCCCA
rnacentral:tRNA from 1 species